UCUUCACUUCCCGUUGCCAUUUUGCUGUUUUUUGUGUCGUCUGCUAAUUUCGACCAUUUUGUGUCUCCUGUUCAUCUGCUUGAUGAUGAUUCUUCUUCUUCUUCUUGUUGACGAAUGGAAACCAGACGAAUGAACUGAAUUCCCGCGUCUGGCAGGAAACUGGGCCGAGGGGGUUUUACAGUAAAGAGGAAGCCACAAAACCGUCUUCACUUCCUGUUUGCAGCAGAAACCAGUUUCCUGUUGAAGCUGCGUGGAGGUUUGUCAGAGAACGAGAUCAGUCGAGGCAGAAGCUUCAGGAAACCGUCCCUUCAGGCCUGGUGUCUGCUCACGAUGAUGGCGACGAGUCGAAGAUUUAAACCCACGACUGAAGGAAAGAGUGUGAUGAGUUCAGUGUCUGUGGUGAGACACGUGGUCUGUGUGUGUCUGUGUGUGAAAAGAAGUGCGACUAAUCAACAUCUACGACGUCUCUAGAAUCCUUCCUUUCUGGCCGAGGCGAGCUCAUGUUUUUGCUCUGAAGAACUUUUACGACAUGAAAAGUCUGGAGGGUUUCAGGCGGAAGUGGACUCGUUGCAGGGUGGAGGUAUGAAGCUGCUGUCUGCUGGGCUGCAGGUUCUAACCCCUCAGUCUGGACCGCUUCGGGUCGCACUCGCAUCCAGCCAAAAAUAACCAGCGUCUCGUCUUUGCAGCCCGGACGCCGUUUCCACAUUUUUGCCAUUGUUGACUCAUGAAGUGUUUUUUUUUUGUGUGUGAGACCCCGGUGAACUGGUUUGAAGCCAGGCCAGGAGCCUCAGGGCGUGGCCCUUGUUUGACUUCUCCUCCCAAACAUGACGUCUACUUGUGUCAGUGUUUCUUAUAUUUAUCUGAAGCUUAAAAUCUGUAUGUGAUUGUUUUCCAUCUCAGUCUGGACAUUCUUGAGGUUUUCACUUCUCUUCUCUCUUCUUUCAACUCACUUUUUGGUAAUAUUUUCUCUAUUUUCAGUAUUUUUUUCCUUUUUUGAUUUAGUGUCAGGUUUCCAUGUCUUUGGCCAUUUUCCUCCUGUCUCGUUUUUGUCACCUUGUUAUUUUUUUCCCCAUAUUUAAAAUAACUUUUUGGUUAUUUUAAGUCUACUCGGUCAUUUUCCGAAUUUAUCUCCACCUUCCAGUCUAUAUUUGGUCCCAUUUCCCUUUUGGUCCAUAGUGGAAGUUUUAACUCACUUUUCGGUAAAUUUUUGUCUAUUUUAUGUGUAUUUUUUGAUAUAUAGCAUCAAGUCUUCAUCUCUUUUGAUCAUUUGCUGGUGCUUUUGGUUUGGUUUGGCUCUUUGUGGUCAUUUUUUGCAUCUCAUUCUGGUUGUUUUGUAAUUUUUUUGAAGUGGAAGUUUCAGCUCACUUUUUAGUCAUUUUCUGUCUUUUUUUAAUCUAGUGUCAAGUGUCAAUUUAACUGUUUCGGUCAUUUACUGAUGUUUUUUGUUGCUCACGUCUUUGUGGUGGUUUUGUAUCUCAUUCUAGUCAUAUUUUGUCUUUUUGUUCUUUAAGUUUCUGGUUUUCGCCAAGUUUUAGUCUUUGUUUAUCUUCAUCUCUCACAUUUAGAGUCUGCUCUACCAUUUUUUGUGAUUCAUCUAAACCUUCCGGUCUAUAUUUGGUUGUUUUCCAUCUCAUUUGAAGGUUUUCAUUUCUUUUCUGUUGUCUUUUGACUCACUUGUUGGUUACUUUUCUUUUUUUCUUCACACCUCCUCCCUGCAGGAGGUGUGAAGAAAAGCUGCUGUCUGCUGGGUUGGAAACAUCUCCAGACCCCCAGACCUCCACGCCUCCAGCCUGGGAUCAGACUGGCUCUGUCCAGAGUAGAGCUGAAAAAUACGAUCAACAUCUUGACUUUAGAUCGGUCAACACGUACUUUUUACUAGGUGUUUUCUUUAUAAUUAUUCUUUCUGUGUGAGGCAGGUGUGAACUUGUCCAGUAGAGGAGGUUUUGCCGUGGAGCUGCUGUCUGCUGGGGAGUCCGAGCUUCACACUGACUCUAUUCUCCUGUUUUCAAUCACAGUUCAUCUCUUUGUGGUUUUAUUCAUCUUUGUUUCUCUUUUUAGAAUUUUUCUUUUUUUUUAUGUUUUCACCUCAGUUUUGUAACGUUUCACCUGUGUGGAGGUUUUCAUUUCUCUUCUGUUGCUGUUUUUUAUUUAAUUAAGGUUCAGGUUUCCAUCUCUUUUGGUCAUUUUCUUAACUUUUUCAUCUACAUUAGGUUGUUUUUUGCCUCAUUUUGGCUGAUGUGCCAAGGUUUCAACUGACUUUUUGGUCAUUUUUUGUUUCUUAUGUUUUUUUAUUGAGAGUUUUUUUUAUUAUUUAGUGUCUGGUUUUCAUCCCUUUUUGGUUGUUUCCUGGUAUUUUUCAUCUAUGUCUCAUUCUCCUCGUUUUGAGUCUUUCUGCUUUCACUUCUUUUAUAAAUAAUAGUUUUGGUCAU